AUCUUGAAAAUUAAAAAAUUUGGCGGUAUUUUAGUCUAUUCAGAGGAACCUGUCCUAUAAUUGAUAGUCCACGUUUUUAUUAACUUAUUCUUUUAGUUUACAUAUCGCCGUAGGUUGAAUAUUUUUGUAGAAUAAUAAUGUUCAAAAUUUUAAGUGAAAGAAAAUCAGGUCAAGGUGUAGCUUAUGGAUAAGAAGAGAUGGGUUACAAUAAAAUUAAUUAAACGGAUAAAUUUUUGUAAUAGAGUUUUGAAGGUGGAUUUGAAAGUAAUUUUAUUUAAAUUUUUAAGAUGAUUUUAGCUCUAAAAUAUGCACAUAUCGCCCGUCACUUUCAUUUUAAAAUGAAAUAAGUCGUAACAUAGUAGAUGUACUGGAAAGUGUCUCUAGAAAGAUCGAAUUAAAGCUUUAAAAGCAUUUUAGUUACAUUAAAAAGAUUAUUGUAGAUUCAGUAUAAUUCGAAAGUAAAUAGUUAUUAAAAAUAUAUUUAAAGUAAUUUAUUGUUUUUUUAAAAAAAGUAAUUUUUUGUUUUAUUAGACUAUUCGAAUAAAUUUAGAUUAUUAUAGAUAAUUAGUAUUGAAAAAGAAAUUUUGUUUUUGUUUGAAAGAAGAAUUAAAUUUUUGUACCUGGGUAUCAGGGUUUAUUAAUUAAAAUUUAAAAAUUAUUAAAUUUCUCGAAUUUAAAAGAGCUAUAAAUAGUAUAUUUUUUAUUGUAGAAUAAAUAUUAUAAAUACAUUUAUAGAAGUGAAAUGCUAUUCGAUUUUAAAUAUAUCUAGUUUUUUAAGAAAAAAAUUUAAUUUUAUUCUUAUUUUAUUAUUAAACUAAAUUUUUAGUUUAAUAAUAAUAAGAUUUUAUAUUCUAAGGGAUGAGCUUUAGAGUAUAGUUUAUAAAAUUUAUCUAAGAUUUUUAGAAAGUGGGAUUAUAAGUUUUCAUCUUUAUUAGUGUAUUAUAACUAACUAAAAUUAAAAUAAAAUUUUUAUAUAAAUUUAUAUAUUUUAUUAAAAUAUAUACUUUAAUUAUAAAAGUAUAGUAAUAAUGAUAAAAUUAGUAUAAUUUUAUGUUUAUAGAAAAUAUAAAUUAAAGGUUGAGUAAAGGAACUCGGCAAAUGGACUUUUCACCUGUUUAUUAAAAACAUGGCCUUUUGAGAUUAAUUUAAGGUCUGGUCUGCCCAAUGAUUUUAUUGAAUGGCCGCGGUAUUUUGACCGUGCAAAGGUAGCAUAAUCAUUAGUUUCUUAAUUAGAAGCUUGUAUGAAAGGCUGGAUGAGAAAGUAGCUGUCUUUAUUUAAAUUUAUUAGAAUUUUAUUUUUAAGUCAAAAAGCUUAAAUAAUUAUAGAAGACGAGAAGACCCUAUAGAGUUUUAUACUUUGUUUAUAUAAAGUUUUUAGAAUUUU
rnacentral:rRNA from 1 species